UUAAAACGUAAAAACUGGUCAAUAAGUAUGAUUGAUAACGCAAGAUUAUGUAGUAAACAUUUUAUUUCAGGCAAAAAAUCAGACAAUCCUAAUAGUCCUGACUAUGUUCCAUCUGUUUUUUUAUACAGACAGCAAUCUUUUUCAAAAAAACAUCAAAGUAUUGAAAGAUUUGAAAGAAGUUGUAAAAGAACAAAAAAAAAUACUGAAGAUAAUUUAUCUCAAACAAGAGCUGAAAAUGAACAGAUGUAAGUUAAUAUGGAUGCAGUAAAAUCAGUCGACCCUUUCAAAUUAAAUCAAGAAUCUCAGACUGAUGAUGUUAAUUUUGUUGCUGAGCUACAUUCUAAAGUCAAAACUUUGAGUAAAAAUAAUGUUGAAUUAAAGAUUACGAUAAACAA